UCCAUCCCACCCAGAGUCCCCAACAGCCUCAGGACUCUAGAACCCAAAUAUAGUGCAGGGUUGUUGAAGUGAUAAAGAAACGAAAACGCAAGACGGGAUGAGGAUGUGAGGCCUAGAGGGGCAGCAGCCAUUUUUUCAGCAUGAGGGCAGAGGAAGAAGAGGAGGAAGAAGAGAAGAGCUAACACUUAUAGAGUGCUUAAUGUGUGCCAGAUACUGUUCCAAGCUCUCACGCUGGUUUUCUUCAUCGUGUAGAAAACAUGGCUGAGUUUUAUACCUUGCACUUUUAGCUACUGGAGAAAAAACUGAAUCCUUUCUGGCA